UGCAUAUGCACGUUUCGAAACAACCUUCACGUAUAAAACUCAUUGUAUUUAUUGUUUUAGAAGUCUAUAUAUGGUAAUUGUAAUGACCCAAUCCCACCAUCUCCACUUCUUUCCCCAACCCCACCAUCUUCACCUUCUUUUCCACUAUCUCCACCCUCUUUCCCACCAUUUCCAUCUUCUAUAAUUCACAAACUUAGAAAGAAAGAAAGAGAGAGAGAAAGAAAAGAGAGAGAGAGGAAGAAGAGGAAGGGAGAAAGCUCACCUGAGCUCGUCGCCGGAGCAACCGUGCGCCGUGAUCACGUUCAGCUUGCCAGCACCGAUCAACACCCUAGGCCAUCAUCGUGUUCCUCUCGACGAGACGAAGCCGUAGCCGCCGACCGCGCCGCAAUCGGAGCCCGGAUGAGCCCGCACGCGCCUCCGGAAGUUUCGCCUCUGCGCGCGCGUGAGGUGCACGCGCCGCCGCCGGAAAUCGUCGCCGCCGCCUUCGCCGCCGAUUUGGAGUCCAUUUGAGCAGCUGGAGUUCAUAGAUACCACUUCUUAUUAUUGCUAAGGUGAGACCGACGAGCAGGAGUGAUUAUCGGACUGGUGCUAUUGGGCUUUUGGGUUUCUAUCGCUUUUACCGCUUUUAUCUUUAUCGGGCCUUUAGGCCUCUGGACUUUUAUCGUUUAUGUUAUUCCUAUUUCAGACUUUCGGUUUAUGUCGUAUUUUAUAUUUCGGAUGUUAUCGAUGUUGGGCUUUUAGGCCUUUUGGUACCGUAUUGACUUUUAUAUUAUGAUAUGAAGAUUAUUAUUA